rnacentral:tRNA from 1 species
UGGCCUCAUGGUUAAGACACUGGGCUAAUAACCUAGGAAUCGUAGGUUCAAGC